ACUCAAUACACUACCACUUGAUGAGGUCUGGGUUAUUCUAGGUGGUUAAUGUGCUGUAAGCAACUGUCUUACUUCUCAUUAAGAGAGGUAGCUUAUGGAUCAUUUAACUUAAAGUCUGAUUUUUCUCCUUGGCUGUCCUUAGAGCUCAUGUCCAUUUUAGUCAUUUCUAUAUUCAGUGAGUUCUCCUCUUCCAGACUGUCUUUAACUCUCUUCCUUAAUUCCCCAAUUUCAUUAUCAGCCUAGACUCAAAUGGAAAGAGCUUCAAUGUGGGGAUACGUCUGUCUUACUGUAUAAACCUUAGGAAAGCCAGUUCUACAUGGAGAAGAAAAACAAAUUAAGAAGAAACACAAAUAAGUCCAUUAGGAAUCCUCUAAAAAUUAAACAUUAAAAAAAUGAUGCUCUGAAACCCAUGCUGCCUACUAUCGGUAAGUGCAGAAUGCUUAGCUAAGCUGAUAUAAAACUUUCACUUAGAAAUACUAAAUAUUAUUGAAGUGUUUUGCAACAUAUGCUACUGACAACAAGAAAUAGUCAAAGGCAAUUAAUUGAUAUUCACAAUAAAGUUCACUUUAUCUCUGGGCAAAUGCAAUCCAUUUAUCCCCAGUCAGUGUCUAGGAUAUGUGACUCAGUGGGGGAGACAGCACAUGUUACCUGAAUGAAAAAAGGAAGCGAGCAUCUUUUGUAGAGGGAGGCCAACUGAAAGGGAAACCUAAUGGAAUAUAACACUGUGACUGCUGAAAAGUUUCUGUCAAAUAGGUGAGUAGAAAAUAUUUUGUCAUGUUUUAAUUUACCUAUAUUCAAAAGAAUCUAUUAGUUUGUUUGUUUAUUUAUUUAUUUAUUUAUUUAUUUAGAGAUGGAGUCUCACUCUGUUGCCCAGGCUGGAGUGCAGUGGUGUGAUCUUGGCUCACUGCAAACUCCUCCUCCAGGGUUACUACAAAAUAUUCAUUAGCUCAUAAAAGGUAAGAAAUCCAUGUACUUUAAUAACUAUGAGAUACAAGAAUUAAUCGGCUGGGCGUGGUGGCUCACGCCUGUAUUCCCAGCACUUUGGGAGACCGAGGUAGGUGGACUGCUUGAGGUCAGGAGUUCAACACUAGCUUGACCAACAUGGUGAAACCCCAUCUCUACUAAAAAUACAAAAAUUAGCUGGGUGUGGUGGUGGGUGCCUGUAAUCCCAACUACUCGGGAGGCUGAGGCAGGAGAAUCGCUUGAACCUGGGAGGUGGAGGUUGUGGUCAGCCAAGAUUACGCCAUUGCACUCCAGCCUGGGGGACAGAGGGACUCCAUCUCAUAAAAAGAAAAAAAAAGAACUAACCAAAUGUAAGAUUCAAUCUUAUCAUCUUGAGAAAAGUUUGACCAUGCUGAGUUAACAGAAUUGCCCACCUUAAGAAGGUGCAUUUAUCCUAUCAAUGAAAGUGUAUUAAAGUAAGAUUAAACCAGGAAUGUAUAUAAAAUCAGCUAUUAAAUCCUUUGCUAAGCAGAGAACAGAACACUUAGACAAUUAACUAAAACUUGGGCUGAAAGAAAGAACAGAUGUAACACAAUUAGCCCUUCUAGUAAAAAAAACUGAAAACUUUUUUCCUUUUCAGGUUACUGUUGGCCUUAGGUGACCCCAAGUGACCCAAUUGAAGAUUUAAGCUUCACAUGCUAUGAGAUGAAAUUCUCUCUUCUUAUUAUAAUGGUAGCUUUAAAACUGCCAAACAAUAGAAUACCUAUGAUAAUGAAAAUUUGUAGAAAAUACCACUAAUAAACUCUCACUUCUAUAUAUCCUUAUAUAGACGUAACAGCUUGUUACGUCUGCUAACAAGCUGUUGAAGACGUAGAGAGAUGAACUACAGUGGGAAAGGCCAUUAGUCCAAUAGAUGUUUUGUGGAACAAAAUCUGAGUAAGUCUGCUUAAAUACCAUAGCCAUAAUGAAAAAGCCUUUCAGAAAGUCCAUGAUUGUUCCUUCACUCUUUAGAAUUCUAUUUCAAACUCUGUAGUAUGUAAAGAAUUGAAAUAUAAUUCAAACUCUGUUCACUAUGGGAAGAAGGGGAGGGAAGGAAUUUCUAAGACUUAUGAACAAUAGAAUUUUGAAAGUGUGGCUAACACAACCAGGGAUUUUAUCUGGUGAAUUUUACAUAUCACAUGUCUGUUAUUUUUAAUAGUUUCCUCUGCUUGGGUUCAUGUUCAUAAAUCUUUUGCUAAAUUUCCACAUGUACCUGACAUGUAUGAAUCUGUUAUUCUACUCUGUUUAGCUGACAUUGAAUGUCUACUUCCUGAAAGGACCUGGAAUAAUAUAUUUUCUUUGGAUUUGAGAAUCCCAGUCCUCUCCUUUGUUAUUAUAUUUCUUCAACUGCUGUUUUUGGAUUAUACAGGGCACUGUUUGUGAAAUGUCACUUAUGGGGCUAAAUAAUAAUGCUAUCAAGUAAAUACACAAUAAUAGGUAUUUAUAAAAUAUAGCUAUAUAAAAUACAGUACAUUUUAUAUGAGAGAGUUGCAUCACACAAGCAUAGCUUCUCAAGCUAGUAAGAUAAAAAUCACGUACAUGCUGGAGUUAAUCCACACAGAUUUAACGUUCUGAAUCCAACUGCAUGCUUGACAUGCUGUAGGAGAUCAAUAUAUAAUCUGUUUUUCACCAACUGUAGAGGUAUAGUAAAAAGGCUAGAGAAUUGUGUUUUCAUAUGUAAUCUUCUCCAUUUUAUCUUACAAUAUAUAUUACUGUAUAUGUAUAGGGAAGAUGACACAAAUCCAUAUAUGUAUAUUUUAACUUGUGAGUGAUUUAAUGGAUUUUAAAGAGUAAUUCUGCCAUUUUUAGACUGACUUUAAAACCUAAUUUGUGAUUCUGCCACAUAUCAAAAUGCAAACAGUGAUCAUCUCUGGGUGAUUUUUAAGCUUUUAAAAUUUGUACUUCCUAAAUUGCUAUAAUCUGUGAUUAGAAGAAUAAAUAAAAUAAAAAGUACUGUACUAUAUUUACAUUCUAUUAAGUCAUACAUGGUUCUGUUACAUAUUACAAAAUAAACUCUUCUGAAUAAAAAGAAUGUAUGGUCAUGAACAAGUCAAUGAUACCAAAUAACACCAUGACUACUCAACACUGUAAUGAAGGUCCUGGCCAAUGCAAUAAGACUAAAAAAGAAAGAAGAGAUACAAUACUUACAUAGCAAGAGAUCAUUUUUAUUUUCAAAUGAAAUAAUUAUCUAUAUAGGAAAUCCAAGAGAAUAUGCCAAUUAUUAGAAUAAGAAAAUAGUCAGAUUGAUGAAUAUAAGAUCCACAUACCAAAAUCAAUAGCCUCCUUAAAUUUCAAUAAUAGUCAUUAGAAAAGUAAUAGGAAAAAAAAAUCUCAUUCAAUAACAAUGAAAUCUCUAAGUUUUAAAAAAUAAUCUAGCAAAAGCUGUGUCGGAGUUUUAUGAAGAUAAUGGCAAAACAUUACCAGGGGAAAUGUAAAGACAAUGUGAAUAAAUGUUAUGGAAUGGAAGAUUCAACAUCACAAAUAGUUCCUCAAAAAUUAAUCUUUAAAUAAAAUGUAAUCAAAUCAAUCAAGAAGUCAACAGAAUUUUUUUUGGUCAAAUAAGAAAAAUUAAUUCUAAAUUCAUGUGAAGGGACAAAGGGACAAGAAUAGUCAAGACAAUUCUGAAGACAAAAUUACAUGGGAAGGUAUUUCCCUAUCAGAUAUCAAACAUUAUUUUAGAGCUAGAAUGAUUAAUACUAUGUGGAAUCAGUGCACAGACUGAUAAUUAAGGUAAGGCACCAAAAUAGAAGGCACAGAAAUAGGACCACACACACAGAGAAACUGGAUACACACAAACGUGGCAUUACAAGUCAGUGGGGAAAAAUACACUACUCAUUAAGCAUGGGGACAACUGGUUAUCCAAGAGAAAUGAAUUAAACUAGGUUCUUUUGAUGCAAUACACAAAAAUAAAGUUUAGGUACAUUAAAAGCCUACAUAUGAAAAGUAAAAUUCUAAAACUUUUAUGAUAAAAUACAGGAAAAUAUCUUUAUGACCACAAGAUAGAUCAUUAUUACCUAAAUAAGAUCGAGAAAAGCUGAGAUUGCAAACAAAAUAACCUGUAUUCAUUCUGUGCACAUCUGUAACAUUAAGCUAGCUAUAAUUAUCCCUAUUCUCUCCCAUUUUGUUUUGUCACAUGAGAAGAGCCUACUGAAUACCACUGAGUUAUCAUUACUAUUGUGGCAGCUUAUACACAAUUACAUGUAAAAAUGUACUAGAUUAUAAUUUUAACUGAGCUAUAUAGCUCAUCAAAAACAUUAUAUUAUCUUAAAAUCAGUUUGCUUGUUUUAUUGGAAAUAUAAUCCAUGCAUUUUAAUUUCCCAAAUUGUAAAAAUUAAAUACAAUUGUCCCUAGGUAUACACAUGAGAUUGGUUCCAGGACCAGCCCCCAGUACCCAUACCCAAAUCCACACAUACUGAAGUCCAUAGUCAGCCCUUUGGGGUCCGAUGCCAUAGGAAAUAUGUACAAGGGUUUGCAUCCCACGAAUACUAUAUUUUCCAUCUGUGUUUGGUAGUGGAUGCAGAAUCCACAGGUAAGGAGAGCUGACUGUAUUUAUUGAAAAAAUUCCACAUAAGUGCAUCAGCAGAGUUCAAACUGGUACUUUUCAGUGGUCAACUGUAUAAGAAUAUAUUUACAAUAUGGCAGUGAACACAGUACCUUGAAACUUCAAAAGAAAAUUAGAUAUGACCAUUUCAACAUGCAAUAUAGUAAGAACUAUUCACGUUUGGCUACUAAGGAAUUGAAAUGUGGCUAUUCUGAAUUCAGAUGUGCUUUAGUGUAAACUACAGAGUGGAUUUUGAAGAAGUAGUAUGUACGCACAAAAAAUACAUACUACAACAACACAACUGUGUUUUGAAGAAUAUGCUACUAAAUUUCUUAUUCUGUAAGGAGAUGGCUGUGUGUGAUAUGCCAGCACAUACACUUAUUUCAGCUAUUAUAUUUGGGAGAGACAAGCUUAUGUCCCAGUUCAAGCUCAGAAUUGCCCAUAAUCAGAACAAAUAUCUUGCGCAAACAGAUAACCUUUAAAGUAUAUCACAAAAUUAUAUAUAAAAUAUAAGGCAGAAUAAAUUUGUUUCAGCAUUAAACCAAUUAUUUAUUCACAUAUCUACCUGUGUUCCCUCAUACUCCUAUUGUCUAAAGGGGAGAUUAAGUUUAUAUCUGUUCAUUGGUCUUGAGGUCUGCUUCCAGUCUUUAUUUAAAGCAGUCUUACUUAACGGAGAUUACAAAUGGAGAUUUUGUGUAUAGAAGUGUCAGUGUUUAACAUGUUUUCAUGUAAAUAGAACAGACAUAAAGAAUAGUGGUGGAGUCGAGGAGAACACAAGUCACAGGGGUCUCAGUUGUAUCAGAAUAAUCUGAACAAAUAUGACCAAAAGUGAAGAUUUCUCAGAAUGGUGGUGAUUUGAAAGGUGAUUGGAAGACGCCAUUUACAAAUGGAGUUUCUUUCCAGGCACUGGGACUAGGGCUGAGUCAGUCUAGGGCAGGAACAGAAGGGGCGGCUGCUGCUACCUCGCUCCACAUUUCAGAUGGUAGAGCAUUAUGCACAAGUGUCCAUGGUCCAGGCAGUAUGCAAGAGAGAUGAGAAAGCAUGCGAGGCAGGCCGACUUGUUUCUGCUCUUUCUAUUCCUGCCUGGACCAGCAAUUUCACUGCUAUUCUGUGACAGAUCUGUCACACACAGGCUUAGAUAAAAAAUAUUUCUGUAUAGAAAAAAAAGUUGUGAAAGUGAUAUUUUUGAACUUCUAAUGCUGUUACUCUAGGGAAAAGCCAGUAGUGGCAAUGGGGAGGAAGGGAGAGACUUACCAUAUGUGAAGGGAAAAUAACUCAGCAACUGGAGUGGAAAUGAUUAUUAUCAGCUAAUAGGAAUUAUGUCAACCUAAAUAUUACUCACUGACAGCACAGCUAUGUACAAUUUAUGAUAAGGGAAUAACUUAAGCAAUGGUGAAUACUUAUGAAAGACUUGAAAUUCUUACAUUUCUUCUGCAUUCAAAGUUUAACAUUCAUAAAAAAUUAGGAACCAAGUUACAUUCUGAAUCUUCCUAUUUUUUUUUAUUUUUGAGUUUAGAGUUUUUUUAUAUAUUGUGAAUACAAAUCCUUUGUGAAUGAGAUUUGCAAUUAUUAUUUCUCCUAGUCUGUGGCUUGUUUUUUCAUCCUCUUUGCAAUGUCUUUUGUGAAGUAAAGGUCUGAAUUUUGAUAAAGGUCAACUUAUCAGCCUUUCUCUUUCGUUGACUGUGUUUCUGGUGUCAUGGCUAAGAGCUCUUCAACUAACUCAAUCUAGGUCACAAAGACUUUCUAUGUCUUCUAAAGGUUUCAUCAUUUUAUGUUUUACAUUUAAGCUUGUAAUCUAUUUUGAGUUAGUUUUUGUGUAAGAUAUGAUGUUUAGUCAAGGUUUUUUUUUCCCUGCUAGGGAUGCCCAGUUUUUCCAAUACCAUCUGUUAUAAAGACUAUCUUUUCUCCAUUGAAAAAGAGACUACACUUCUCUUAAACACCGUUAGCUGUACUAGUAAGCUGUACUUGUUUGGCAGUCUAAGUUAUUCCACUGAUCUAUGUGUCUACUGCCUUGCCAAUACCACACUGUCUUGAUUAUUGUAGCUAUAUAGUAAAAUCCUUAACUUAGGGAGUGUGAUUUCUCCAAUUUUAUAUUCUUUUUCAAAACUGAUUUAGCUAUUUUGGUUCCUUUGUCUUUUCAUAUAAAUUAUAGAAUCAAUUUGUCUGUAUCUACAAAAAAACUCUACUGCGAUUUUGAUAGGAAUGACAAUAACUCUACAUAUUGAGAGAAAUGAUAUUUUUGGAUGUUGAGUCUUCCAGUGCCUGAAUAUGGUAUGUCUCACCAAUGGUCUUCUUUGAUUUCUUUCAUCAGCAUUUUGGAGUUAAUGACAUAUAGAUACUUAAUAUGUUUCAUUUAUACUUAAGUAUUUUGUUUCUUAAUGCUGCUUUAAAUUGGAUUGUAUUGAUUUCUAUUUCUAGUUGUUCAUUGCUAAUAUAUAGAAAUAAGAGUGAUUCUUGUGUAUUGAUCUUGUAUCCUGCCACUAUCUUAAAUUCACUUAAUAGUUACAUGAGGUUUUUUUUCCCUAAUUCUUUCAAAUUUUCUACACCAACAAUCAUGUCACCUCAAUAGGGGAAGUCUGACCUCUUUCUUUACAAUUUGUAUGUCUUUUAUUUCUUAUUCUUGCUUUACUGCACUGGGUAAGACUUCCAGUACUAGGUUCAAUGGGAGUAGAGAGAGAACACAAACUUGCCUUAUUCUCAGUAUUAGAGAAAAGCAUUACUUUUACUUUCACCAUUAAUUAUAAGGUUGGCUGUAGAUUUUUUUAUAAUUCUUUAUCAAGUUGAUGACGUUCCCUUGUAUUCCCAUAUUUCUGAGAGGUUUUAUCAUGAAUGCAUUGAAUUUUGUUAAAUGAUUUUUCUACAUGAACUGAUAUGCUUAUUCCUUUAUUUAAAAUAGUAAAUGGAGGAAUAAAAUGAUUUUUAAAUAUUAAAUAACUGUACAUCCCUGGAAUAAAGCCCACUUGGUUGUGGUGUAUUAUUUUUGAUAUAUUGCUGGGAUUCUUUGGUAUAAUGGGAAAUAUAUAUUUGGUCUUGGUCCCCAGUUCCUGGCAUGGAGCUCCUAAAUGGAAUUUCCUGAGCAAUAGGAGCAUCUUUUGUUACUCAUAACAGGCCCUUCCAAUUAUCUGAGUUUAUGCUAAUGAGAUGAGCUAUCUCAUCUAUCUUGAGUUUAUGCUAAGGCCCUUAGAUAGCUUCAGGAUGAGGCCUUUCACCAGAAACAACAAUCUUUGAUCAGAGGGUUGGAACUUUCAGUCUCACCCCCUAAUCGUCCCAGAAAAGAGAGGAGGAGCAGCUUGAGUCCAACGACCAAUGGCCAAUGACUGAAUCAAUCAUGCCUACGUAAUGAAGCCUCCCUAAAAACCUCUAAACGACAGGAUUUGGUGAAUACAUCCAGUUGUGAGGGUGGGACACUCUAACUCCAUGGGGACAAAAAAGGCCAUGCUUGUGACCCUUGUGACCUUACCCUAAUGUACCUCUUCAUUUUGCUGUUCACUUGCUUCUUUUAGAAUAAACUACAAUAGAAUGUAUAGCAUUUUCCAGAGUUUGGUGAGUCUUACUAGCACAUUAUUGAACAUGGGGAGGAAUGAGGACUCCUGAAUUUGUAGCCAAGUUGGAGAGAAAUCUGGGUAUCCUGGGGACUGGAGCUUGAGAUCGGGAUAUGAAGUCAAGGCAGUCUUGUGGAACAGAAUCCUUAACAAAUGUAGAGUUGCACACUUACUCUGGGAAUUUGGUGUCAGUGGCUUGGAUCACUGGGCACACAAGUGGUACUGGAGAAUCAGAGAUUCAAUGUGCUAAUUUGUUGUUGGGUAAUUUUUCAUCUCUGUUCAUGAAGUAUUAGUCUGUAGUUUUCUUUUUUUGUACUGUUUUUGCCUGGUUUGGCAUUAAGGUUAACAUCAGCCUCCUAAAUUUAGUUGAAUUGAGAAGUGUCCCUUAGUCUUCUAUUUUCUGGAAGAGCUUAUGUAGAACUGGAAUUAUUUAAAGGUUUCGUAGAAUUUGUUAGUGAAACUAUCUGGGCCUGGAGAUUUCUUUUUCAGAAGGUUGUGGUUAAAGUUUUAAUCUCUUUAAUAGUUAUACAAUGGUUCCUAUGAUCUAUUUCACUUUGAAUGAAUUUUGAUAGUGUGUGGUUUUCAAGGAAUUGUUAAAUUAAGUCAAAGUUGUCAAUUUAUGCAUGGAGGGUUGUUCAUUGCAACAACACUAAUCCUUUAAGCAUCUGAACAUCUGUAGUAAAAUCUUCUGUUUCAUUUUUGUUAUUGUUUAAAAACUAACAAUCCUCUCUUUUUUUUUGUCAGUCUUGUUAGAGGUUUAACGAUUUUGUUGAUAUUUUCCAAAAACCAGCUUUUGAUUUGCCUUUGUUAUUUUUCUGUUUUUACUAUUUAUUUAUUUUUAUAGAUUUAAGGGCUACAAGUGCAGUUUUGUUACAUGGACAUAUUAUGUAGUGAUGAAGUCUGGGCUUUUAGUAUACAAUAGUAUAUACUGUACUCAUUAAAUAAUUUCUCAUCCCUCACAUCCCCUCAGCUUCAUGGGUACAAUAUAUACUAUUUGUAUACAUAGUUAAUAGUUAUACAAUGUAAUAAUUUCUCAUCCCUCACAUCCCCUCAGCCUCAUGGGUACAAUAUAUCCUAUUGUACCCACGUACAGUACAGUAGUAUAUAUUGUACCCAUGAGGCUGAGCGGGUAUGAGGGAUGAGAAAUUACUACAUUGGUACAAUAUAUACUACUGUACCCAUGAGUUGUACCCAUUAAGUAAUUUCUCAUCCCUUACACCCCCUCAGCCUUGCGAGUCUUCACUAUUACUCCAUCCUCUAUGUCCAUGUGUACAUAUUAUUUAGCUUGUAUUCACAAGUGAGAACAUGCAGUAUUUGACUUUGUUUCUGAGUUAUUUCACUUAAGACAGUUCCAGCCAUGUUGCUGCAAAAGACACGAUUUCAUUCUUUUUUAUAGAUGAGUCGUAUUCCAUGGUGUAUAUGUAUAUGAUAUAUAUAUUUUUUUAUCCAAUCAUCUGUUGAUGGGGAACUUAGGUUGAUUCCAUAGCUUUGCUACUAUGAAUAGUGCUGCAAAAAACAUAUGAGUACAGGUAUCCUUUUGGUAUAAUGAUUUCUUUGCCUUUGGUUAAGUACCCAGUAGUAGGAUUGCUACGUCAAAUGGUAAUUCUAUUUUUAGUUCUUUGAGGAAUCUCCAUACUGUUUUCCACAGAGGUUGUAUUAAUUUUCAUUCCCAAUGACAGCAAAUAAGUGGCCCCUUUUCUCCACAUCCUCGCCAACAUGUUGUUUUUUGACUUAACAGCUGUUCUGACUGGUGAAAGAUGGUAUAUUUCAUUGUGGUUUUAAUUCUUAUUUCUCUGAUGACUAGUAAUGUUGAAUAUUUUUUCAUGCUUGUCAGUCACUUGUAUGUCUUUGUCUGAAAAAUGUUUGUUCAUGUCCUUUGCCCAGUUUUUAAUGGGGUUGCUUUUUUUUCUUGCUGAGUUGAAUUCCUUGUAGAUUCUGGAUAUUAACCCUUUGUCAGAUGUUCAGUUUGCAAAUAUUUUCUCCCAUUCUGUAGGCUGUCUGCUUACUCUGUUCAUUAUUUAUUUUGCUAUGUAGAUAAGCCUUUUAGUUUAAUUGAGUUCCAUGUAUCUAUUUUUGUUUUUAUUGUGUUUGCUUUUGAGGACUUAUUCAUAAAGUCUCCCUAGGCCAAUGUCUAGAAGAGUUUUUCCUAGGUUUUCUUCCAGGAUUUUUAUAGUUUCAGGUCUUACAUUUAAGAUUUUAAUCCACCUUGAGUUAAUUUUUGUAUAUGGUGAGAGACAGGGGUCCAGUUUAAUUUUUCUGCAUAUGGCUAGCCAAUUUUCCCAGCAUCAUUCUUUGAAGAGACUGUCCUCUCCCCAUUGUGUAUUUUUGUCAACUUUGUUGAAUAUUAGUUGGUUGAAGGUAUGUGGGUUUGCUUCUGGGUUCUCCAUUCUGUCCCAUUGAUCUGUGUGUCUAUUUUUAUAGCAAUACCAUGCCAGCUCCUUAUAAUAAAUCCUGUCUCUGUCCAUUCUAUUGGUUUUGUUUCUCUGCAGAACCCUGACUAAAACCAAUAUGCUACACUGUGAAAUUUGAAGACAGAGGAUGGGGCCAUGAGCCAAGGAAUGCUGGUAUUCUUAAGAAGCUGGAAAAGGCAGGGAAACAAGUUCUCCCCUAAGCCUCCAGAAGAACAAGUGGUGCUAACACUUCGACUUUAGCCCAGUGAAACUUAUUUCAGACUUCUGACUUCAGAAUAUAAUAAAUCUGUGUUUUCCUAAAAGACAUUAUAUUUGUGGCAAUUUGUUACUAUGGCAAUAGGAAACUAAUACACAAACCAGGUUCACUCUUGGUACCUUUCUACAAUAUUGUGUCAGUCAACAUUUGAAGCUCACAAAUGGAUAAAUAAAAUGUGGUAUAUCCAUGCUGUGGAAAAUUACUUGGCAAUAAAAAGACAUGCAGAACUGAUAUAUCUGAUAUUAAGGGUAAAUCUUGAAAACACUAUGCUAAGUGAAAGAAGCCAAUUAUGAAGGAUCAUGAAUUAUAAUGAUUCAAUUUUAGUCAAAUGACUACAAUAGGCAAAUCUGUAGAGACAGAAAAUGGAUUUGUGGCUGUCUAUGGCUUGGGAGGUGAUGGCUUAGAAGUGUGAGGUUUUCUUUUUGGGGUAACAGAAAUGUUUUAAAACUGACUGUGGCAAUGGAUGCACACCUCUGUGGAUAUACCAAAAGCCAUUAGAUUGUACACUUUCAACAUGUGAAUUUUAUGAUAUGUGUAUUUACCUCCACAAAGUUGUUAAACAAUUAUACAUUUAUAAAAACAUUAAUGAAGCAGAAUAAAAGUACACAAAAAUUCUAGGAAAAAAAGAGCACCAAUAAGAUAUAACAUAUUUCUAUAGUCAAGAAUAUAUGCAACUUAUUUAAAUAGAUAUUGUGUUCAUUAUAUAGUAGCCUUACAAAACGCGUUCCUCACACUCACAAGUGUUUUAAUGUUCAUAGAUGAAACUCAGUUUAAUUUAUCCUGUUUUGCAGUUAUAAUAUACAGUGUAGCCAUCAUCUAAACAGUGAUAGAUGUUUUAAUACAUCUAUAAACACAAUAAAUACAAUCCAAACAGCUAUUUCAUUACAUUCUUUAGCUACCUGUCAGAUUAAUGCAUAAUGGGUCAAGUCAACUAUGCUCACCUUCCCCACAACCACCCCCAUUAAAAUUGUUUUCUGUGCUCCUUAGAGAGUCAAGAGAAGAAUGAAUGUGCUAUUUUUGAAAUGUAUCUUUAAAAAAAUUCAUGUGCUUGGAAUAAUUCAUGGAAGAAUAACUGUUUCUGAAUCUUCAAAAAACAAAAUGUCCUCAAAUAAGUAUUCUUAAGUUUGUACAUGAAAACCCAAAGCUUGUAUAAUUUUCUUGAAUCACACAUAUAUUUAAUUAGAAUUUAUGGUGUAAUAUUUAUUCUGAAGGAAUGAAAACAUUUGAAAAACUGAAGCUAUCAUGUUAUAGAAACUUACAUAGAACAACAUCAGAAUUACUCUACACAUGUCAAGUAUUAUUGUUAUUAUGGUGGUAUUAUACAUAUUAGUUUUCUUCCACCAUUCCUGGCUCAAAACUCCCAUAGCCCUCGUUACAGUCUUUUGUUGUAAUGUUGGGUGUGUUAGGCCUCAGAGGCAGGCCUCUGACCUUCUCCUGCACUCCGUUCACGCUAAUGUUCCUUUCUGAUCCUGGGUCUUAAGACACUCCCAUGAGAGAGUCCCACCCUAUACCCUGGGGGAAGAAUGCUGAUGCAAUGAAGCUUCCAUAAAAACCCAAAAGGAAAGGGUUCAGUAAACAUCCGAGCUGAACAAGUGGAGAUUGCUGGAGGGGGUUGUGCCCAGGGAGGGCUUAGAAGCUCUGAGCCCCUGCCCCGUACCUCACCCUAUGCCUCUCUUCAUCUAUAUCUUUUAUAAUAAACCUGUCAAUAUAAGUAAGUGCUUCUCUGAGUUCUGUAAGCCACUCCAGCAAAUUAACUCAUACCAAAGGAGGGGGUCAUGGGAACCCCAACCUGACGCUGGUUGGACAGAAAUUUCAGAGGCCUGGGCUUGCAACUAGUGUGUAUGUGGCAGUGGUCUUGGGGAUUGAGCCCUUAACCUGUUGGAUCUGACACUAUCUCCAGGAGUGUUGGAACUGAAUUAGAGGACACCCAGCUGGUGUCUGCUGCUUUGUGUGUGGGGACAAAAACUCCACACAUAUGGUCACCCAAGUCUUCUAUGUUAGUAACUAUUGUGGUGUGAGAGUAGAGGAAAAACAUAGGCAGAGAGAGUUUUUCCUACACAAUUAUAUUACAUAAGAGCUGUAGAAAACAGUAGUAGUCAAUUCAAAGAAUUUUGUAAACACGCGUUAUAAUAAUAUUGCUUAUAAUUCUUUCAUGUACCCUCUGCCUCUGAUCAUCUGUGCCUUGGCAAGUGUUGCUCUCCCUGAAACUCACCCCCACACUUACCCACUGCUAAAUUAUUUGUAAUUCCUUUGACACUCAGUGUAAGUACCACUUUCUCCCAAAAGCCUUUCCUGACACUCCUCCACAUGGCAGACUACAAAGGGAAGGAGCUCAGUAUAGGGAGAUGGAAGUAACAUCACUGCUUGGGGCAAGUUGGGUUCCCUGGGAAGGAGAUCUGAGAUGGAAACAGGACAGCAGUAAAUAUAUUACAUUGAACUCUACAUAGGUAGAGGGAGAAUUUAGACUGUGAUGCAGUCUUAACAAAGGCCUCAAUCUAUCCCACAGGAAGCUCUGAAGUUGGGAUGGCCAUUCCAAAUUGUCCUCCAUUAUGGGUGCAGAGGCUGGGACUUUAACUGCCCCGUCAAUUAUAUGAUAUGAUAAAGGAGGCAUAUCACUAGAAAAAGUGGCCUUCUUUGUUAAAGAUAAUUGCCAGAGGCUGGGCGCGGUGGCUCACACCUGUAAUCCCAACACUCUGGGAGGCCGAGGUGGGUGGAUCACCUGAGUUCAGCAGUUCUAGACCAGCCUGGCCAACAUGGUGAAACCCCAUCUCUACUAAAAAUACAAAAAUUAGCUGGGCAUGGUGGCGGGUGCCUGUAAUCACACCUACUUGGGAGGCUGAGGCAGGAGAAUCACUUGAACCCGGGAGGCAGAGGUUGUGGUGAGCCAAGAUCAUACCAUUGCACUCCAGCCUGGGCGACAAGAGUGAAACCCUGCCUCAAAAAAAAAAAAAGAUAAUUGCCAGAGAGUGUUAAUAGCAAAUGGCUGUCAGAUGGCAGCCUUCUCAGCAGCCCAGGAAAUAGGUCCUUAAGUCCUAAAGAGAGAUCUGGGUAGCACCACAUUGCUUAUAUACUAUGUGCUAGGUGCUGAGCUUUGAUACAUUAUACAGUUUAAUUCCUCCAGUCUUAUGAGGUAUGGAUUACUAUCCCUAUUGUAUUCAUGAGAUAGGCAAGGCUGAGAGAGGUUAAAAAACUCACUGAACAUCUCACAUUUAAUAUGUGGUAAACUUACAAAAUCUAUAUUCUUUCACUUAAUCACAACUUCCUCUCAGGUAGUUCACAUUCAAGGAAUGUUAAGAUAAUAAAUUUGUUCAAAAGUUUGGCUUUUUGAGGCAAGCAAGACCUACAUCAAUUGCUAGCUGCAUUUGUAAGAUAAAGCUGAAGAUCAGAUGUAUCAGAGCUAAUGCAAGGACACUUGGUUAAGAAAUGAUGCUGCAACUAGACCCGAAGACCAUUCUAACUCUGUACACCAUACAGAGAAAUGCUGUCCAGAAUAACGUUGUGUUAACAGAAAUGUUCUCUAUUUAAAUAUAUAUAUAUUUACAUAUAAUUUUUUCUUAAAUUAGAGGUGGGGAUCUUGCUCUAUUGCCCGGACUGGUCUUGAACUCUUGGCUUUAAGUGAUUCUCAUGCCCUGGCCUCCCAAAGGGGGAUUACAAGCGUGAGCCACCAAGCCCAGCUGCUGCAAGACCAACUGCUCUAUUUUUUUUUCUUUCUUUCUGAGGCAGGGGCUUGUUCUGUCACCCAGGCAGGAGUGCAGUGGCACAAACACAGCUCACUGCAGCCUUGACCUCCUGGGCUCAAGCGAUCCUCCUGCCUUAACCUCCUGAGUAGCUGGGACCACAGGCACCUGCCACUAUGUCUGGCUAUUAUAAAAUUUUUUUUUGUAGAGACAGGGCCUCACUAUGUUAUCCAGGCUGGUCUUGAACUCCUGGGCUCAAGCAAUUCCCUCACCUCAGCCUCCCAAAGUGCUGUGACUACAGGUGUGUGCCACCAUACCAGGGUUGUCUGUUUUUGAUUCUGGCCAUCCUAGUGAGUGUGAAGUGGUAUCUAAUUGUGGUUUUGUUUUGAAUUUCACGAAUGACUAAUGAUGUUAAGCAAAUUUUUAUGUGCCUUUUUAUCCUAUGCAUAUCUUCUUUGGAAAAAUGUCUAUUCACAGUUUAAGGUGAAAAGUGAGCAUUAACCUCUUCUGUUAGAAAGCAUGGCAAGAAUAAAUAUCUCAAUUUACUCAAUUAUCUUCUGCCUUAUACAGUGUUAUCCACAUAUAAGAACUUCAACUGCUGACAUUACUUUCUCCAGGAAGUCUUCCUAGUUGCAUCCUGUAGACUAGGAGAAAUGGUCCUGCUGUACAUUUUUAUUUUUAUUUUUUUGAGAAAGAGUCUAUUAACCAACCCUUGGCGUUCACCUAUUCCACAAUAACCUCUAUCUUAAGUAACAACUAUUCUACUCUCUACUUCUGAGAUAAACUAUUUUAGCUUCCACAUGAAUGAGAAUGUGGUUAUUCACCUUUCUGUACUUGGAUUAUUUCACUUAAUAUAAAGUCCUCCAAGCUCAUCAUGCUGUUAUGAAUGACAACAUUUCCACUCUUAAUGGCUAAAUAUUUUCCACUGUGUUUAUAUACCACAUUGCAAAAAUCAAUUCAUCUCUUGAUGAAUAGUUAGGUUCAUUUAAUAUCUUGGUUAUUGUGAACAGAGCUGCAAUAAACAUGGGGGUACAGGUAUCCUUUUGAUUUCCUUUCCUUGGGAUACUCAGUGGCAGGACUGCUGGAACGUAUGGCAGGUAUGAUAGUUCUAUUUUUUAUAUUUUUUGAGCAACCUCCACCCUGUUUUCCGUAAUGGCUGUACUAAUUUACUUUCCCACCAUCAAUGUAUAAGAGUUUCCCAUUCUCUGCAUCCUCAACAGCAUUUACUUUUGGUUUUCUUUUUUUUUUGAGACAAAGUCUCGCUCUGUCGCUUAGACCAAAGGCCAAGGUAGGAAGAUUACUUGAGCUCAGGAGUUCGAGACUAGCCUGGUUAACAUGGUGAAACCCCGUCUCCACCAGAAACACAAAAACUAGCCAGCGUGGUGGUGCACACCUGUAGUCCCAGCUACUUGGGGCUGAGGCACGAGAAUCGCUUGAACCCAAGAAGUGGAGGUUGCAGCGAGUCGAGAUUGCACCACUGCACUCCAGCCUGGGUAACAGUGCGAGACUCUUAAAAAAGGUGAAGUAAAAUGGGUAUCCUUGUCUCCUUCCAAAUCUUACAGGAAAAGCUUCCAACUUUUCCUCGUGUAGUAUAAUGUUGGCAGUAGGUUUGUCAUAUAUAUCCUUUACUAUGUUGAGGUAUAUUCCUUCUGUACCUAAAUUAUUGAGAGUUUUUACGAUGAAGGAUGCUGAAUUUUAUCACAUCCUCUUUCGAUAUUUAUUGAGAUGACCAAAGAGUUUUUGUCUUUCAUUUUGUUAAUGUGGUGUAUCACAUUUAUUGAAUUGUAUAGUUUAGCCAUCCUUAUAUUCCUGGGAUAAAUUCACUUUGAACAUGGUAAAUGCUCUUUCUAAUGUGCUGCUGAAUUCAGUUUGUGAGUAUUUAGCUCAGGACUUCUGCAUCUCAACUAACCUGACAUAUUAAACUGUACUAUUCUUUUUCUGUUGCAUCCUUGUCUUGUUUUGGUAUCAGGGUAAUGGUGACCUUGUAUAAUGAGUAUGCAAGAAUUUCCACCUCCUAAAUUUUCUGAAAUACCUUAAGAAUUGAUAUUAGUUCUUUAUUUAAUGUUUUAUAGAAUUCAGUACUGAAGCUACUGGGUCCUGGGCUUUUCUUUAAUGGGGGACAUUUUAUUCAGGAUUAAAUCUCAUUACUUCUAAUUGGUCUGUUCAGGUAUUCUGUUUCUUCUUGGUUCAAUCUUGGUGGAUUGUAUGUGUACAUGAAUUCAUCCAUUUACACUAGAUUUUCUAAUUUGUUGGCAUAUAGUUGUUUGUAAUAGUCUCUAAUGGUCCUUGUAUUUCUGUGAUAUCAAUUUUAAUGUCUCCCUUUCCUUUUUGAUUUUAUUUAUUGGGGCCUUUCCUCUUUUUUUUAUCUAGAUGAGUCUAGCUAUUGGUAAAUUUAUGUUAAUCUUUUCAAAAAUCAACUUUUGCUUCAUUCAUCCUGUUGUUUUGUAGUCUCAAUUAGUAAAAUUUCUGCUCUGAUCUUUAUUGUUUCAUUCCUCCAACUAACUUGGGGUAUAGUUUCUUCAUGAUUUUCUAUUUUUGACAUGCAUUGUUAGGUGGUUUAUUUAAAAUCUUUCUAGUUUUUUAAUGUUGGUGUUUAUAUCAGCUUUUGCUGUAUCCCACAGGUUUCGGUAUGCUGUUUUCCUAUCUUCAUUUGCUUCAAAACCCAUUUAAGAUACCUUCUUCAUCUCUUCAUUGACCCAUUGGUCAUUCAGAAGCAUACUGUUUAAUUUCCAUAUAUUUGCACAAUUUCAAAAGUUUCUUUGGUUACAGAUUUCUAGUUUUGUUGCAUUGUGGUGAGAAAAGAUAUUUAAUAUAAUUUUAAUUUAAAAAAAUUUGUUGAGACUUGUUUUGUGGUCUGCCAUGUGGUCUUACCCUGGAGAGUGCUGAUGGAAAGAAUGUGCCUUCUCUAGCUGUUGGAUAAAAUGUUCUGUAAAUGUCUGUUAGGUCCAUGUGGUCUAAAGGACAAUCUGAAAGCAAUGUUUUUGUUGGUUUUAUGUCCAGAUGAUCUAUCUAAUGCUGAGAGUGGUUACUGACGUCUCCAUCUAUUAUUGUAUUGAAGUCUACCUUUCCCUUUAGAUCUAAGAAUAUUUGCUUUAUAUAUCGCAGUGCUCUGGUAUUGAGUGUAUUUACAUUUAGAAUUAUUAUAUCCUGUUGCUGGAUCAGUUCCUCAAUCAUUAUAUAAUAAUUACUUUGUCUGUUUUUAGAGUUUUUAAAAAGUCUGUUUUUUAUAAAUAAAUGUAGCGAUACCAGCUCAAUUGGCUUCUGUUUGUGUGGAACAUCUUUUACCGUCUCUUCACUUGCAGUCUAUAUGUGUAUUUACAGGUAAAGUGAGUAUCUUGUAGUAGGUAUAGAUGGGCCAUAUUUGUUUUUAAAUCCAUUCAGUCAGUCUGUAUCUUUUAAGUGGGAAAUUUAAUGCAGGUACAUUCAAGGUUAUUACUGAUAGGUGAAGACUUACUCCUGUCACUUGGCUGAAUGUUUUCUGUUUUUUCUCUAUAUACUUUGUUUCUUUAUUCCAAUCUUGUUUAUUAAUGUGGUUUCACAGUUUUUUGCAGCGACAAGGUUUAAUUCUUGUCUCUGUUUUCUUUUAAUAUCUGUUCUAUUAUCUUUCUCAUGUUUUCAUGAUGGUGAAUAUUGUCCUGUGGCCUGCUAGAUCUCGGACUACCUUGACUAUUUCUUGUAAGGCUGAUCUAGCAGUUAUAAAUUCUCUCAGAUUUUUUUCUAGGAAAGACAUUAUUUCUCUCUCUCUCUGCUGAACUACAGCUUUGGUGGUUAUAGUAUUCUUUGGUUUUUACAGUUACAGUAUUCUCGGUCGUAUCAUGUAAAACAAUUAUUUUUUCUUUCAGCACUUUGAAUACAUCAUCCCACUCAUUCAUAGCCUGUAAGGUUUCUGCAAGAAAUCUGUUAUUCUAAUUGGGAUUCCUUUGUAUGUGACUUGACUGUUUUGCUGUUCUUUUUUGCUUUUUCUCCUCAUUCUCUUGCUGUUUUUAAAUUUUUUUCCUGUCUCUGCCAUUUGACCAUUUAAUUGCAAUAUGCCUUGGGGAGGACCAUUUGCAGUUGAUUCUCUUUGGAGACCUUUGAGAUUCCUGAAUUGAAACGUCCAUCUCUCUCCACCGACAUGGAAAGUGUUCAUCUACUAUUUCAUUAACCAGAUUUUCUAUGUAAUUUUCCUUCUCUUCACCUUCUGGAAUUCCCAUAAGAUUACUAUUUGUGUGCCUAUUGAUGUAACUUAAGUUUUGUAGGAUUUCUCUCACUCUUUUGCAUUCUUAUUUCUUUUUAUCUCUGUCUGGGUAAUUUGAAAUGACAGAUCUACAUAUUUAAAGGUUCUUUCUUAAGUCUGAUGAAGUCUGCUACUGCAGCUGUCUAUUUUAUUUUUUAUUUCAUUCAUUGAGUAAUUAAGCUGCAGGAUUUCUGUGUGGUUUUUAUUUUUUUAUUAUGAUUUAUACCCCUUUGUGAAUUUCUUAUCUAAGUCUCGUAUUGUUUUUAUGAGACUGUUGAAUUGUCUACAUGUAUUUUCUUUUGUCACACUGAGUUUCCGUAAUAUCAUUAUUUUGAAUUCCUUUUCUGGUAACUGUUGAUUUCUUUUACACUGGGAUACAUUAUUAGAGAUAUGAUAUGGCAUUCAUGAUGCCAUUUUUCCUUGCUUUUUUUUUUUUGAGAUGGAGUUUCGCUCUUUCGUCUAGGCUGGAGUGCAGUGGUACAAUCUCGGCUCACUGCAACCUCCACCUUCUGGUUUCAAGAGAUUCUCCUGCCUCAGCCUCCCAAGUUGCUGGGAUUACAGGCGCCCGCCACCACACCCAGCUAAGUUUUGUAUUUUUAGUAGAGAUCGGGUUUCACCAUGUUGACCAGGCUGGUCUAGAACUCCUGACCUCGUGAUCCACCUGCCUUGGCUUUCCAAAGUGCUGGGAUUAGAGGCGUGAGCCACCGUGCCCAGCCUUUCCUUGCUUUUUAAUGUGUUUUUCUGUGUCCCUAUAUUGAUGUCUCUGUAUUCGAUGAAAUAAUCAGUGAUUCCAAAUUUCCUAGUGUGCCUGUUCUAGAAAAAGACUUUAGAGUUUCAUUUUAUUGUGCCAGUUGGGAAUAGUGUGGUGAUUUUGCUUAUGGAUGAGUGUAGUAAUAUAGGCUCUGUGCAGACUUUUCUCCCUUUUAUUUACUCAUGAAUACUCAAGGCUACAAGUGCAGUUUUUUUUAUGUUGCACAGUGGUAAAGUCUGGGACAUUAGUGUAAUGAUCACUUGAAUAGUGUACAUUGAACCCAUUAAGUAACUUCUUAUCCCUCAACCCCCCUCACCCUCCUUCCCUUCCAAGUCUUCAGUGACUAUUAUUUUACAAUCUAUGUCCAUUCUGCACACUAGAAACUUGACUUUGUUUCUGAAUUGUUUAAAUUAAGAUAAUGGCCUCCAAUUCCAUCCUUGCUGGUGAAAAAGACAUGACUUCAUUCUUUUUUAUGGUUGAGUAGUAUUCCAUGCUCUCUCUCCCUUCCAAGUCUUCAGUGACUAUUAUUUUACAAUCUAUGUCCAUUCUGCACAUUAGAAACUUGACUUUGUUUCUGAAUUGUUUAAAUUAAGAUAAUGGCCUCCAAUUCCAUCCUUGUUGGUGAAAAAGACAUGACUUCAUUCUUUUUUAUGGUUGAGUAGUAUUCCAUGCUCUCUCUCUAUAUAUAUAUGAUAUAUAUAUCAUAUAUACAAAUACACAUAUACAUAUAUAUGUAUGUGUAUAUAUGUAUAUACAUAUGAUAUAUAUCAUAUACAAGCAUGAUAUAUAAUAUAUAUCAUAUACAAGCAUGAUAUAUAAUAUAUAUCAUAUACAAAUGAUAUAUAUUAUAUAUCAUAUAUAAAUAUGAUAUAUAAAUGUGAUAUAUAUAUUUUCUGUAUGCAGUCAUCUGUUUAUGAACUUAGGUUGAUUACAUAUCUUUGCUAGUAUGAAUACCGCUGCAAUAAAUAUACAAGUGCUGGUAUCGUUUUGGUAUAAUGAUUUAUUUUCUAUUGAGUAGAUAUCCAGUAGUGGGAUUGCUGCAUCGAAUGGUAGUUCUAUUUUUAGUUCUUUGUGAAGUCUCCAAACUGAUUUCUAUACAGGUGUACUAAUAAACAUUCAUACCAACAGCAUAUAAGAGUUCCCUUAAUUCUGUAUCCUUGCCAAAAUCUAUUAUUAUAGAGUUUUUGGUAACAGCCAUUCUGAUUGGUGUAGGAUGAUGUCUCAUUGUGGUUUAGAUUUGCGUAUCUCUGAGGGUUAGUAAUGUACAUUUUUUUAUGUGCUUCUUGGCCAUCUAUAUGUCUUCUUUUGAAAAAUGUCUACUUGAGUCCUUUGCCCACUUUUAAAUGGGGUUACUUGUAUUUGUUUUUUUUGGUUGUUGUUGGAUUGAGUUAUUUAUAAAUUCUGAAUAUAAGUCCUUAAUCAUUAAUCAGAUCUGUAGUUUAAAAAUAUUUUCUCCCAUUUUGCCAGCUGGUCUGUUCACCCUGUUGAUUAUUUCUUUUGCUGUGCAGAAGCUUUUUAGUUCAAUUAAGUCCCAUAUGUCUAUUUUUGUCAUUGUUGAUUAUGCUUUUGAGGCCUUAGUCAUGAAUUAGCUGCCUGGUGGCCAGAAGAGUUUUCUUUCCAGGAUUUCUUCCAGUAUUUUUAUUAUUUCAGAUCUUAUAUUUCAGUUCUUGAUCCAUGUUGAGGUAAUUUUUAAAUAUGGUGAGAUAUAGGGGUCUAGUUUUCAUUAUUCUGUAUAUGGCUGUCCCAUUUUCCCAGCAGCAUUUACUGAAAAGAUUGUCCUUAGUGAUUGUUGUUUUUGUCUUAACAAAGAUCAGUUAACUGUAGACUUUUGGCUUUAUUUCUGGUUUCCACAUUCUGUUUCAUUGAUCUAUGUGUCUAUUUUACUUAAUACCAGUACUAUGUUUUGGUUACUAUAGCCUUGUAUUAUAAUUUGAGAUAAGAUAAUAUGAUGACUCCAGGUUUGCUUUUGCUCAGGAGUGCUUUGGUCAUUUGGGCUCUUCUUUUGUUCUAUAUAAAUUUUAGGAUGUUUUUUCUAAUUCUGUGAAAACUGACAUUGGCAUUUUCAUAGGAAUUGCACUGAAUCUGUAUAUUGCUUUGGGCAUUAUGGUCAUUUUAAUGACAUUGAUUCUCCUGCUCCAGGACCAUGGGAUGUUUUUCCAUCUUUUUGUGCCAUCUACAAUUUCUUUCAUCAAAGUUUUGUAGUUUUCCUUGUAGAGAUCUUUCAACUUAUUAGUGAAAUAUAUUCCUAAGUAUUUUAUUUUGUCUUUUGUAGUCAGUGUAAAUGAAACUGCCUUCUUGAUUUGUUUUUCAGCUUGAUUUGUAUUGGUGUAUAGAAAUGCUACAGAGUUUUGUAUGUUGAUUUUGCAUCUUGUAACUAUACUAGAUUUGUUUAUCAAAACUAAGAGUUUUCUGGAGAGGUCUUGAGGAUUUUUCUAGGUGUUAGACCAUAUCUUUAGUGAAUACAGAUAGUUUGACUUUCUCUUUUCCAAUUUGCAUGGUUUUCAUAUCUUUCUAUUGUCUGAUUUCUCUGGUUAGGACGUCCGGUAUUAUUUAGAAUAGGAGUGGUGAAAGUGGGUAUACAUGUGUUGUUCCAGUUCUUCGGGGAAGAGCUUUCAAUGUUUCCACAUUCAGUAUGAUGUUGAUUGUGGGUUUGUUGUAUAUGGAUUUUAUUAUUUUGUGGCAUGCUCACUAUGCCUAGGUUUUGAUGAUUUUUAUCAUGAAGAGAUGAAUUUCAUCAAAUGCUUUUUCUGCAUUUACUGAGAUGAUCAUACAGUUUUUAACACUGUUUAUGUGGUGAAUCACAUUUAUUAAUUUGCAUAUGUUGAACCAUCUUUGCAUCGCUGGAAUAAAUCUUGCUGUGCUGUUGGAUUCAAUUUGCUAGUAUUAUGUUGAGGAUUUUUGCAUGUAUGUUCACCAGAUUUUCUCUUUUUGUUGUGUACUUGUCUAACUUUGGUAUCAGGGUGAUAACAAUUUCAUAUAAUGAGUUAGGGAAGAUUCCCUUCUCCUUGAUUUUUUGGAACAGUUUCAGUAGAACUGGUACCAGUACUUCUUUGUACAUUUAGGAGAAUUUGAUUGUCAGUCCACACGGUCAUGCAGCUCUUUUGUUGUUGUUUUGGGGAGAUGUUUUUAUACUGAUUUAAUCUCACCACUCAUUAUUGAUCUGUUCAACAUUUAUAUUUCUUCCUAUCUUGAGAGGUUACGUUUCCAGGAAUUUAUCCAUUUCCCCUAGGUUUUCUAGUUUGUGAGCAUAGAGUUGUUCAUAGUAUUCUCUGAUGAUCUUUCAUAUUUAUGUUCUAUCAGUUGUAAUGUCUUCUUUUUCAUUUCUGAUUGUAUUUAUCUGAAUCUUCUGUUUCUUGGUUAUUAGAGGGAGUGGUUUAUCAAUUUUGUUUACAUUUUCAACAACCAACUUUUUGUUGUCUUGAUUCUUUGUAUUUCUUUGGUCUCAAUUUUAUUUAGUACUGCUUUAAUUUUUAUUAUUUCUUUUCUUCUGCUAGCUUUGGGUUUGGUUUGUUCAUAUGUUUCUAGUUCCUUCAGGUUUGAUGUUAGUUUGUUAAUUACCUUUGUUUUGGGAGGCAGGGCCUCACUCUGUUGCCCAGGCUGAAGUGCAAGUGGCACAAUCGUGACUUAUUGCAGCCUGGACCUUCUGAGCUCAAGCGAUCUUCCCACCUUAGCCUCCCAGGUAGCUGAGUCUACAGGCAUGCAUCACCAUGUCCCGGCUAAGUUUUUAUUUUAUUUUAUUUUAUUUUAUUUUAUUUUAUUUUUAAAUUGUUCGUAGAGGUAGGUCUCGCUAUGUUGGCCAGACUGGUCCUGAACUCCUUGGCUCAAGGGAUCCUCCUGCCUCAGCUGCCCAAAGACGCUGAGACUACAGAGAUGAACCACCAAGUACAGCCCUUUUUUUCUUUUUUUUUUAAUGUAGGCAUUUAACACUAUAAACUUCCCUCUUAGCACUGCUUUUGCUAUAUCCCAGGGGUUUUAACAUAUUGUUUCCAUUUUCAUUCUGUUCAAAAAAAUUUUAAUUUCCUUUUUAAUUUCAUUGUUGAUCCAAAGACUGUUCAGGAGUGUGUUGUCAACUCUGUCUAUUUAUACAGUUUCUUGUUUUGUUUCUUUGAGAUGGAGUCUGGCUCUGUCGCCCAGGCUGGAGUGCAGUGGCACAAUCUCGGCUCACUGAAACUUCCGCCUCCCGGAUUCAAGCGAUUCUCCUGCCUCAGCCUCCUGAGUAGCUGGGAUUACAGGUACACGCCAUCACGUCCAGUUAAUUUUUGUAUUUUUAGUAGAGAUGGGGUUUCGCCAUGUUGGUCAGGCUGGUCUCAAACUCCUGACCUCAGGUGAUCCACUGGCCUCGGUCUCCCAAAGUGCUGGGAUUACAGGCUUGGGCCACCGCGCCUGGCUAUUUAUAUAGUUUUGAGAAUUUCCGUUGGUAUUGAUUUCUAGUUUUAUUCUGCUGUGAUCUGAAAAGAUACUUGACAUGAGUUUGAUUUUUAAAAAUUUUUUGAGACUUGCUUUGUGGUAACAUAUGGUCUAUUUUGGAGAAUGUUCCAUGUUCCGAUGAGAAGAAUUAUAUGGUUAGAAUGUUCCACAUGUGUCUAUUAAAUCCAUUUGGUCUAGAGUCCAAUUUAAGUCUAGUGUUUGUGGUUUUUCUGUCUCAGUGUUCUGUCAGUUGCUGUGAGUGGCAUGUUGAAGUUCCCCACUAUUAUUGUAUUAUUGUCUAUCUUUGUCUUUAGGUGUAGUAAUAUUUGUUUUAUGAAUCUGGGUGCUCUGGUGCUGGGUGUAUAUAUAUUAGGAUUGUUAUAUUCUCUUGUUGACUUGAUUCCUUUCUCAUUAUAAAAUGACAUUCUUUCUUUUUUACUGUUUUUGAUUUAAAGUAUGUUCUAUCUGAUAUGAAUAUAGUUACUCCUGCUUGCUUUUGGUUUCCAUUCAUGUGAGGAAAAUCUUUUUCCAACUCCUUUACCCACAGUCUGUAAGUGUCUUUACCAGCUGAGAGGAUUUCUUAUAAGCAGCAUGUAGAUGGCUGAUUUUUAAAAACCCAUUCCAUCAAUUUAUAUCUUUUAAGUGGAAUAUUUAUGUCAUUUACAUUCAAGGUUAAUAUUUUAUACUUUCCCGCACUUUUAUGGUGGUAAGUACUAACCCUUUGUUUCCAUGUUUAGAAUUCCUUUGAGUAUUCCUUGUAGGUCCAGUCUAUUUGUGACCACUUCCCUUGAUGUUUGCUUUUGUGGCAAAGACUUUAUUUCUACUUCAUUUAUCAAGCUUACUCUACCAGGAUAUAAAAUUCCUGAUUGACAGUUUGCUUUUUUUUUUUUUUUUCUCUUUAAGAACUCAGAAAAAAGGCUCUCAAUCCAUUCUGGCUUGUUAAGUCUCACAUUGAGAAGUCCACUGCUACUCUGAUAAGGUUUCUCUUAUAGGCAACUAGACAUCAGAUUUUUUCCUACAUGUUGACUUUAUACAGUUUGAUGACUAUAUUUCUUGGUGAACUAUGUCUUGCAAUGCACUUUUCUGGUAUUUGCUGGGCCUCUUAUAUUUGAAUGUGUAAAUCUUUUGCAAGACUAGGGAAAUUUUAACGUAGUAUUUCCUUAAAUAGGUUUUCCAGUCUUGUUACUUUUUCUUCUCUUUUGGAAAUACCAAGGAUUCAUAAGUGUAAUCAUUACUAUGUAGUACAUAUUGAAGUCUUUGUUCAUUUUUUUCUUUUUUUCUGACUCUAUUAAUUUAAAAGAUUUGUUUCAAGCAGUGAGAUUCUCUGCUUUGCUUGCUCUAGUCUCUUGUUGAAGCUUUCAACUGUCUUGUUUAAUUCCUUCAAUAAUUUUUUAUUUUCUAGCAGUUCUGGCUUUUUUAGAAAUAAUGAUAUCCAUCUCGUUGGUACACUUGUCAUUCAUAUUCAAAAUUAAUUUGUUGAUUCAUCAGUACUGGUUUUCAGAUUUGUCUUUUUAUUUCCAUGAGAUUCUUUACAAUCAAUAAUUUAAAUUGGUAUUUUGAUUAUUUCUUUUUGGUUAGGAUCUAUUACCGGAGAAUUACUGUUUCUUUGGGGAUGCCAUAACCCUUUGCUAUUAAAUACUUCAGCAUUAUUACACUGAUUUCUUUACAUAUGAGAAAACAGUUGCUUCUUCUUGCUUUUGAAUUUACUUUCUUUGGGGGGAAAUUUUUUUUUUUCUCUUCAGGAUGUGACUAUGAUGUUAUGUAGGGCUGUUUCUCUUUGCUUCUGGGUAUGUUCAGUAGCAAAGACUCUGUACAAUAUUAGUUAAAAAUAGCUUUAAUGUGGUGGCUUUAUAAAAUGGCAGUUGUAGUAGCUGUGUACUGGGUGGAUGAAGAAGCCACUUCAGAAUACUGAGAAGCCAGGGUGGCAUGGGUGAUGGUGGAUGCAGAGGUCACAUGAAGCCUGUCUCCUUCCUGAGUGCUGUGCAUCUUUUUCAGCAGAUUUGCCUUGUGUUUUGGAGGCUGACCUGGUCAGUAGGUGGUACAUGCCAGUUAGAGCAGGCUGCCAUGAUAGCAGUAGGGUUUAUAUGUGAUCUUUGUUAACAUCUGUAGAAGCGCUUUCAGUGUCCCAGGUGGUGGGUUGGGCCCUGGAGUGCUCAAGGGCUUGAGUCACCUUCUCUCUAGGAUGGGGUGGUAAAGCUGAGUAAAGCCAGAUUGGGGAACCCUGCACUCAGGCCCCCCAUGGCAGAUGUACACACCAGCCCUGAGAGGGGUGGUGGGGGAGUCCUCAGGCCCCUGGUGAAAUCUGCUGAGGUCUCCGCUUGGGGAGUGAAGGGCGGUACCAGCACCAUGGCUUUGACAGGCAGGAAUGAGAUCUGCUACCUUUACUCGCCUUUGUCUGACAUUCAGAAUAUUCGGUUAGGUUAGACAAUGCUGUUUCCUUUUAGGCUGCAAUGCUGUUUACUUAUAGGAUGAAACUGUAUCAGACUUUGUAGUGGCUGUGCAUGUUGAUAUCCUGGCCAGUAGGCAGUGCGUGCAGGUGAGAGCCAGCUGCAGUGGUGGUGUUACAGUUAAGGCUUGACCUUUGUUAACUUGGUGAUGUACUUGGGUUUCCCAGGCAAUGGGUUGGGCCACGGAAUUCUCAGCGGUCUCAGUCCUGUACUUUGCUUCCAAGGUGGGAAAUAGGGGGGAAAGCUGGUGGUGUUGGGUAGAGGAGAAAGCAGGGUGGGGCUGAGAUGGGCAGGUCUAUACCUGGUCCUCCUAAUGGCCAGUACAAGUGCCAGCCCUGAUGGGGGUUGGAGGACAGUUCUCAGGCCACUGGAGCAAUAGUUCAGGGAGAAGUGGAGCAACUCUUUCUGUUCCAACUAACCAGCAUGGGGAAAGUGGGGUGGCUCGGGUUCCAUAGCCUAGCAGGUGGUAGUGAGACCUGCCUUGCUCUCAUGCUCUCAACCUAGCGGGAUACCAUCCUACGGCCUGCCACUGGCAUCGAGCUGAGGCAGCCAGCCAAAUCACAAGCAGUUUGUCUUUGGACUGCAAUAUAACCCCAGGCCAUAAAACUGUGGCUCCCAGGUGAAACCCCUCCCAGCCCAAUUCCAGGAUGGGGAGGUUCCCGAAUCCCAUAACCUUGGCUGGAGCCAAUGCCACACUUGCUUAUCAGUUCUGGCCUCGUUCCUGGGACUGUGCAUAGUCUGCUAAAAGCAGAUGAGAAUUUCACAAAAUGCCACGUUAUCACAAAUUUCUGAAGAGGCUGACAGGUUAUUAAUCAGGAUAAACCACAUUGAAUAAAGUAUUCCUGUUAAGGUAUCUUUUCUAACCUUAGAAGAUUUUUUUCCAAGCACAUAAAAAAAAAUGUUUACAUUAAAAACAACUUGAUAUACCUGCUU